CACGCUCACGCUAAAGGGUCAGGAGAACUAAUUAGACGGGAUGAGUGACAGCUGAUCCGUGGGGUGAAAGCAAUUAAUACCAGCCAGAAUGGAGCAGGGAUGAUCCGGCGCUGCAUCUGGGAUGAAAGUUUAAUACCUGAAGUUUAAAUAUGAAGGAACUGCUCUUCCUGCAGCUUGAGUUGGCAGUUUUCAGCUCCACCCAUGGUGUCUUGCUCUUGAGUGACGAUGCAGAGACGGACCGACAAGAUGAAUCCAGGCAGGAGACCCUGGGUCGGACCCAGAACUCUCUUGAGGGAUUAUGUAUCCUUUUUGUUCUGGAAACACCUUGAGACCCUCCAGGAGAAGCUGGAGAGCAUCGCUGAGGAGAGGGAGGUCUAGGUUUCCUUCCUGGACCUCCAUGACCUUGGACAAGUAGCUGAAAGUAGACAAAUGGAUGGAGAGACAGUCCAAACCUAGUCCAGAACUCCUCCCUGCAGCUUUGACAGAAGAGAGUUGUAACGGACGUGUCUGAGGAUAAAUAUCUCUGACAUUCAUAGAUCUGACUAGCUGGAGGCUCCAGGUUGUGAUUUAUUGUGAUAAUUUCAACAUUUCAUUUGUCUGAAGACGCCUGCGUUGUUUCUUCUUCCUAAAGCUACGGAGACUCUAGUGAAAGGCUUCGGUUAUCUCCUGCUGCACAGAUAUAUGGACGCUUCAGAUGUUUCCUACUGUGACUGAUGCCAGGAUGCAGCUUCGGUAGCUGUAAACAACAUUAUAACUCAGGGACUCCAUCGGUUUUACUCAGCUCAGCUCAAAACCUUAACAUGAACUCCAUGAAUAAAACGCGGUCAGACCUUCAUUUACAGAUGAGAAACCAGAAACUUUGCUUUUUAACUGUUCAGUUUCACAUUGUCACAUUAAAACUUCAGCAGCAUCCAAACCUGGUUAACCUUUUACAGGCGGGGUCAAAGGGCACAAACCUGCGAUCUCACCCGCCACCUCCAUCAGUCGCUGACAUUUUCGCUUUGCCUUGGCGCCGUCGGUGAGACGAGCGGCUGCAGAAAACUCAUCUCCGAGGUGCUUUUUUUUAAAUCCAUGCUGAUUUGUUGCUGUAGACAUGGUGAGAAAUAAGUUUAUUUGUCUUUAUUUUCUAUUUUAUUUUUGAAUUCAAAGAAAAUAAAGCCAAAAGCGAUUUGA